rnacentral:rRNA from 1 species
GACGAACGCUGGCGGCGUGCUUAACACAUGCAAGUCGAACGAAGUGGCGAACGGGUGAGUAACGCGUAAUCAACCUGCCCUUCAGAGGGGGACAACAGUUGGAAACGACUGCUAAUACCGCAUACUGAAGGAGGGGAUUGCGUCUGAUUAGCUAUGUGGAGGGGUAACGGCCCACCAAGGCGAUGAUCAGUAGCCGGUCUGGGAGGAUGAACGGCCAACUGUGGAAUUGACAACGGCCCAGACUCCUACGGGAGGCAGGAGUGGGGAAUCUUCCGCAAUGGACGAAAGUCUGACGGAGCAACUCCGCGUGAGUUAUGACGGCCUUCGGGUUGGAAAGCUCUGUUAAUCGGGACGCGGUACCGGAAUAGAAAGCCACGGCUAACUACGUGCCAGCAGCCGCGGUAAUUC